rnacentral:rRNA from 1 species
CACCGCCCGUCACACCAUGGGAGUUGGUUUCACCCGAAGGCGCUGCGCUAACUCGCAAGAGAGGCAGGCGACCACGGUGGGAUUAGCGACUGGGGUG